rnacentral:rRNA from 1 species
GGGACCCCGCACAAGCGGUGGAUCAUGUUGUUUAAUUCGAUGAUACGCGAAGAACCUUACCAGGUCUUGACAUCCCAUGCAAAGCUAUAGAGAUAUAGUGGAGGUUACCAUGGAGACAGGUGGUGCAUGGUUGUCGUCAGCUCGUGUCGUGAGAUGUUGGGUUAAGUCCCGCAACGAGCGCAACCCUUAUUGCUAGUUACCAUCAUUAAGUUGGGGACUCUAGCGAGACUGCCAGUGAUAAACUGGAGGAAGUGGGGAUGACGUCAAAUCAUCAUGCCCCUUAUGACCUGGGCUACAAACGUGAUACAAUGGCUGAAACAAAGGGCAGCGAAGCAGUGAUGUGAAGCGAAACCCAAAAAAGCAGUCUCAGUUCGGAUUGAAGUCUGCAACUCGACUUCAUGAAGUCGGAAUCGCUAGUAAUCGCGAAUCAGAACGUCGCGGUGAAUACGUUCUCGGGGUUU